GACGAACGCUGGUUGCGUGCUUAACACAUGCAAGUCGAACGGAAAGGCCCUGCUUUUGUGGGGUGCUCGAGUGGCGAACGGGUGAGUAACACGUGAGUAACCUGCCCUUGACUUUGGGAUAACUUCAGGAAACUGGGGCUAAUACCGGAUAGGAGCUCCUGCUGCAUGGUGGGGGUUGGAAAGUUUCGGCGGUUGGGGAUGGACUCGCGGCUUAUCAGCUUGUUGGUGGGGUAGUGGCUUACCAAGGCUUUGACGGGUAGCCGGCCUGAGAGGGUGACCGGCCACAUUGGGACUGAGAUACGGCCCAGACUCCUACGGGAGGCAGCAGUGGGGAAUAUUGCACAAUGGGCGGAAGCCUGAUGCAGCAACGCCGCGUGCGGGAUGACGGCCUUCGGGUUGUAAACCGCUUUCGCCUGUGACGAAGCGUGAGUGACGGUAAUGGGUAAAGAAGCACCGGCUAACUACGUGCCAGCAGCCGCGGUGAUACGUAGGGUGCGAGCGUUGUCCGGAUUUAUUGGGCGUAAAGGGCUCGUAGGUGGUUGAUCGCGUCGGAAGUGUAAUCUUGGGGCUUAACCCUGAGCGUGCUUUCGAUACGGGUUGACUUGAGGAAGGUAGGGGAGAAUGGAAUUCCCUGGUGGAGCGGUGGAAUGCGCAGAUAUCAGGAGGAACACCAGUGGCGAAGGCGGUUCUCUGGGCCUUUCCUGACGCUGAGGAGCGAAAGCGUGGGGAGCGAACAGGCUUAGAUACCCUGGUAGUCCACGCUGUAAACGGUGGGUACUAGGUGUGGGGUCCAUUCCACGGGUUCCGUGCCGUAGCUAACGCUUUAAGUACCCCGCCUGGGGAGUACGGCCGCAAGGCUAAAACUCAAAGGAAUUGACGGGGCCCCGCACAAGCGGCGGAGCAUGCGGAUUAAUUCGAUGCAACGCGUAGAACCUUACCUGGGUUUGACAUGGAUCGGGAGUGCUCAGAGAUGGGUGUGCCUCUUUUGGGGUCGGUUCACAGGUGGUGCAUGCCUGUCGUCAGCUCGUGUCGUGAGAUGUUGGGUUAAGUCCCGCAACGAGCGCAACCCUUGUUCACUGUUGCCAGCACGUUAUGGUGGGGACUCAGUGGAGACCGCCGGGGUCAACUCGGAGGAAGGUGGGGAUGACGUCAAGUCAUCAUGCCCCUUAUGUCCAGGGCUUCACGCAUGCUACAAUGGCUGGUACAGAGAGUGGCGAGCCUGUGAGGGUGAGCGAAUCUCGGAAAGCCGGUCUCAGUUCGGAUUGGGGUCUGCAACUCGACCUCAUGAAGUCGGAGUCGCUAGUAAUCGCAGAUCAGCAACGCUGCGGUGAAUACGUUCCCGGG
rnacentral:rRNA from 1 species